rnacentral:rRNA from 1 species
UGGGGAAUAUUGCGCAAUGGGCGAAAGCCUGACGCAGCGACGCCGCGUGAGUGAUGAAGUUUUUAGGAAUGUAAAGCUCUGUCAAGAGGGAAGCGGUACCUCUAAAGGAAGCCCCGGCUAAUUACGUGCCAGCAGCCGGGGUAAAUGCGGUUAUCCUACG